AGGGGUGAGUCUUCCAACUUUGUUCUUUUUUUUUUUUUAAGAUUUUAUUUAUUUAUUUGACAGAGAGAGAUCACAAGUAGGCAGAGAGAGAGGGGGAAGCAGGCUCCCUGCUGAGCAGAGAGCCUGAUUCAGGGCUUGAUCCCAGGACCCUGAGACCACAACCUGAGCCGAAGGCAGAGGCUUCACCCACUGAGCCAUCUAGGCGCCCCAGUUGUUCUAUUUCUGUAAAAAAAAAAAAAAAAGAAGUGGAGGGGUGCCAGGCUGCUUCUGUUGGUAGAACAUGCAUGCUACUCUUGAUCUUGGGAUUGUAGUUCAAGCCCCAAGUUGGGUGUGGAACUUACUAAGAAAAAAAAAUAAGUAGGAUUUGGUAGAGAUUGCAGUGAAGAUCUAUAUCUAUAGGUAAGUCUUCCAGUCCAUGAAUACAAGAUACUUUUCCAUUUAUUUUUAUCUUCCUUAAUUUCAUUCAGCAAUGUUUUAUCAUUUCUUUUGUUAAUUCUUAACUACUUUAUUCUUUGUGAUGCUAUUCUAAAUUGAAAUUUAAAAAAAAUUUCCUUCUUGGCUUGUUCAUUGUUUGUGUAUAGAAACACAACUGAUUUUUGUGUGAUUUUGUAUUCUGCAACUUUGCUGAAUUCAUUUAUCCUUUUUUUUUUCCUUUUGGUGGAAUCCAAAGGAUUUUCUACAUAUGUGAUCAUAUCAUCUGUAAACAGCUGCCGGAGACAGAAGCAAAAGAAGGGAGAGAAGUGAAGGCAUGGAAGGACCUUUCCCAAAUAUCACUGGACCCCCACUUGUGUUAUGACCACCCAUACCAGGGUGCUCUCAAAAGCAGCUGGCUGUAUGUACUAUAAUCACCUUGAAGGAGGCUACCCAGGGGGCAGAGAUAGUGCCUGUUCUACCACUGUGUUUUCCAGCACACAGCACUGGGCCUGGCACCGAGCACACCCCCAAUCAGUAUGAGUGAAAGAAUGGGGCCCGAACCCUCCCUGCCACGCUUCCCUUCCCUCCCCAACAGGCAGCCAGCCCCUCAGAACAGUCAGAAACCACAGCAAUAAAGUGGGCUCAGAGGGUGUCACAGGGACCUGUGAAAACCCUUCACAAAUGACUUUUUUUUUUGGUCUAACCCUCCCAACUGCCUAGCCCCAGGCAAGUACCAGCAAACCAGUUAGUUAAAUGACUCAUUGACUUGCUAAUGAGAUUGCUCUUGGGCCAGUUAGAGGAGACAAUCAAAAGAACUGUCCCCAGGGAGAGAGAAAACAAGCUUGGCAAAAUGCUGAAGCAUGCUGAAGCCAGGUGACUGGUUCUAGGAGUGCAUUAUAAUAUUCUCUUUUGUGGAUAUUUGCAAAUGUUCUUAAUAAACAGUGAAAAUUAAAAAAUUAAACACAAGAAAAAGCAAUGUCUCCAGGGACCUGGGCCAAUUUUUCCAGAGUGAGAAGCUAUACUUCUUUACUUUUGAGGUCCUGCCUGUUGACAUUGCCCCACACUUCCUCAUUUUCUAUCAAUUCAAUAAUUGUUUACUGAGUACCUACCAGAUACCAGGCAUAGAGCUAAACUUGGGAUAUAGUGAUACAGUGAUAAGUAAGCCUCCUGUUCUAAAAAGCAGCUAUGCAGUCCAUUGUCCAAGUGCUGACCCAGUUAUGGUACCGUGGGAGCACACAGUUCCUCUGAGGGCUGAGGGUCUCCCUAGUUAGGAGUGGGAAUGAAGCAGUCUGGGGUAUUGGUCUGGGGUACUAAUUCCUGUGGCAUGAGUACUUGGGGAGGCAGGGGUGAGGCCAGCUAUGCAGAUAGGGGCAGGUGAUACUGUCGUUAGGUGGGCAGGAGUCACUGAAGGACUUUUAGUAGUGGAAUAGCUAGUGGUAAGACAAUGAUAGGUUGGACCAGGGAAGGAAACCCACACUUCAGAAAUACUUAAGGGGUGAAUGCAUAGGAAUUGGUGACUGAUCAAAUGAGCUAAGGAAGGGAAAUGAAGGGGCACCCCUUAGAAAAAGAGCGAGCCAGUCUGGAGAAGUUAUCCAUUACCCAUCAAGAAAUCUGAGGUGCCUGUAAGACCGCCAAGCAGAGGUAGAAGGGUGGAGGCCCUGUGGGAUUCAUGGUAGAGUUUCCCCCCAGGGCCACAUGGUCCCCACUGCUCCUUAACUCUCAGCAGGACUCUAGAGCAGGGUGGCCAACACCAGAACAAGGGCACACCAGAAUUCAGCUGGUCCUUCCUCAGCCCAACAUUUCUCUAAUGUGGAAUAAGGGAUAUAUCAUCCUAGGAAUCCACUAGUUCUCGGAAGAAUGUUUUAGCUUCACAUUUCCAUUCUGAUCUUGAGUAGGAGCACAGUGGCCUCCGGCAAUCCCAGACUUGCUCAAGUCCAGAGUCCGUGCCUUUGUCAUACUACAUAUCACAGCCGAGUCAGCAAAGCAUCAUCCCCAUGCACCAUUUUACAUUAAGUUUUUCAUUGGUUUCACAGUUACAUUGGGAAACUGGUUAUUUUACAAUUUAUAAGAGCAAAAGCAAGAAAGUUUUUUUUUUUUUUUUUAAACCCAGUUUUUAUACAUGCUUAAGUGACAUGAUAGCUAAAGUGACAUAAUAAUAAAAAUGUAUCAAGUCAACAUGUUGCAGGGAGGUGGGUCUGUGAAAAAUAAAUUAGAGAAACUGGCACAUAACUCAGUAAGAAAUGGUGUCCCUGACCAAAAGCAAUUUCAAUACAGUGUGGCAGCACAGGUAGGAGGUGCACCAGGAACACAAGAGUAGUGGCCUCAGACUUAGUCCAAGAAUGCUCUCAUGAGGAAAUGCUUACAUGGAGUGAGCCAAGUUCAGAAAAGUCACGAAGAAGCCUAGGGAGAAGGCCCAGAGGAACAGAGGGCUGAAGGUUCACAGGUCCUGGGGACAGGAAGAAUGGAGAUGAAGCUGGUAAGCUCCUGAGUUUGGAUUCUCUGCAGAGGACAGUGGGGUCCAUGGUGUGUGUGACACAAUCAGAUUUGUACUUUUGUGUUCAGAAGAAUGGACUGAGGGAGCGGAGUUAGAUGGGAUGCUGUCCAAUUCAUGAA